AGCGAACGCUGGCGGUAGGCUUAACACAUGCAAGUCGAACGGCAGCACACUAAUAUCUUGCUCUUACGGGUUGCCAGUGGCGUACGUGUGAGGUAUACAUCCUAAUCUACUCUUUCGUGUGGGUUAACGUAGGUAAACUUACGCUCAUACCGCAUCCGACCUUCGGUUGAAAGCAUUGGAUCUUCUCACCUUGCGCGAUUGAAUGAGCCGCUGUCGGAUUAGCUAGUUGGCGGGGUGAAUGCCCACCAAGUCGACGAUCCGUAGCUGGUGUGAGAGGAUGAUAGGCCGCACUAGAACUGGGACAGGGUCAAGAGUACUACGGGAGGCAGCAGUGGGGAAUAUGGGGCAAUGGGGGGAAGCCUGAUCCAGCGAGACCGAGUGGGAGGAGGAGGCGUUCGGGUUGGAAAGACCGUUUGUUGGGAAAGAAAAGCAGCAGGUUAAUACCCCGCUGGAGUGACGGUACCCGAAGAAUAAGCACCGGCUAACUUCGUG
rnacentral:rRNA from 1 species